AACACAUGCAAGUCGAGGGGCAGCAUUGGGAUAGCUUGCUAUUCAGAUGGCGACCGGCGCACGGGUGAGUAACGCGUAUCCAACCUUCCUGCCAGUAGGGAACAGCCCGGCGAAAGUCGGAUUAAUGCCCUAUGUUCUUCAAUGCGGACAUCUAAGUUGAAGGAAAGAUUCAUCGCUGGCAGAUGGGGAUGCGUCCGAUUAGCUUGCCGGCGGGGUAACGGCCCACCGGGGCGACGAUCGGUAGGGGUUCUGAGAGGAAGGUCCCCCACACUGGUACUGAGACACGGACCAGACUCCUACGGGAGGCAGCAGUGAGGAAUAUUGGUCAAUGGGCGUAAGCCUGAACCAGCCAAGUAGCGUGCAAGGAUGACGGCCCUACGGGUUGUAAACUGCUUUUAUGCGGGGAUAAAGUGCGGCACGUGUGCCGCUUUGCAGGUACCGCAUGAAUAAGGACCGGCUAAUUCCGUGCCAGCCGCCGC
rnacentral:rRNA from 1 species